GGGAACAGUCGUCGCUGAAAAGGUCCUGUAGUUCUGUUGGUAUGUGCUGAUAAGUUGAUAAACUAAAGUUACACGAGAACAAAAGAAACAAAACAAGUGUUGACGGAAGGUACAAACAGCCAAUUGAGCAUAACGGCUUUGCUUUGAAACUUAUCUCUCAGCAGGAGAUUUAGCAAGAUUUGCUGUACGCGUGCCUCGUACCACAAUCGUUCUUGUUGAUCCAGGCAGCAAAACAACAACUUAAUACUGACCACAACGUGAAAAGCAGAACCAUUCGUUAUAUCUGUUUAUGUGCAUGGUUGUACGUUAAUUUACUAAGAUAGUUUAACACACCACAGGUGUUUAGAACUGGGAGCUUCGCUUUUCACUUCUUUCCAGACUUUUUAGCCGGUGUUGUUCAGAACGAUGGCAAAGUGUUUUAAUCCACUUCCACGUAUAUCGGAAGAAAGUGAAACAAAUGGUGAAGUAGUGGCUGCUAAAUCUACAAUCCCUCGAGUUCAAAAGGUGCCUUGGACAGAUGGCAAUAUCUCCCAAGAAUGGCUGAGGAGAAUGAGUUCCAUAAAAAUGUCUGUAUUUGCAAUUAAACCUGGAAUAAAUCUAAUCGAUACCAUGAACGUUCAAGUAACUGAACCGAGACCAAAACACUUGAUUAAAAGAAGCUAUAGUACAGGGAACCUUAGCACAUUUGCUGAACGAUAUCCUUUAGAAGGCGUCAAGGAAGGCAAUAAAGGUUUUAGCCUCCAUCAAUCACUACCAACAAAUUCGCUGAUGGCGGAGGAAAUUUCUACGCGUAAACCUGAUUCUACAUACAUCGGUUUGAUAAAUGGAAUCAUGCCAACGAACACGUCUUGCUUAAAGCAUAAUGCGUAACCCAAUUGGGGUUACAAUGACAAUUGAUCUGUGAUAGUGAUAUAGAGAUUAGAUGAACCUGAAAGCGGAAUAAAAUUAAAUUAGCGGAGAUAAUGUUGGACUUGACGACAAAAACCUGUGCAUCAGACAGCUCUGUGACCCCGGGCCAUUAAAAUUUAUUCAGUGCAGCCAUUUGGAAGUAUUGUGCAAUUGCUUGUAAUAGCUUGAGAACCUCUAGGUUGUGGCAGGUAUCGAUAAAUAUUAAGAUUGUUUUGUCAGAACCGAUCCGCGUAACUGUGUUGAUAGUCUAUAUUCAUGAACAUGAGGUCUUUGAUUUUGUUUCGUACGAGAAAACCAGACGAUGAACAUUGGUGCUGUUUCUUAUUGCCUUAUACCGGAUGCAAACACUGGUUUUAUGCCUGAUAUAGUCUAAAAAGCCGUUUGUUUAUUCCAUGUUGCAUAUUACGCAGCGUAUACGCGACAAGAAUAUCACUGGAACGAACCACUAUCCCAGGAAAUCGGUCCUUUGCAGUUUUAGGUAAAAUCAAAACACGGUUACCAUAGCAACGUUAAAAGCAAUAGAGAAACUGUUCUUUCUCAAAAUGCGUCUGAAAAUAUCAGCAUCCCAAAGUGAAACACUUUCAUGUAAUCGGGAGAAAAAAUUGACAAGAAUGGCUCUCAGCCCUUCUCUAGCUUUUUCUCUUUCUCUAUGUCACACUGUCCCAUUCCCUUGUACGUCCGAGUGUUAAUAAAACGGCUAGCAAUCCACGCUAUAGGUAUAAAUGGACCAGACAUUCCAUUGUAGUAAUUAAAAUAAAAAUUAUCUCCUAUUGUCAAUGUCACUUUCGAUAUGCAUGUGAAAGGACUAAGACCAAUUAUUUCUCUGCGUCGCCAGGUAACACUCUCUCGAGAGAACUGUUAUCUGACGAACUGCCGCAAAGACUGCUGGUAUCGGUGCCAAUGACUGAGACGAAGCGAUAACGCCUAGCUCUGAUGGUAUCAGUUACCAUUUCGUCAUAGCGUUCCACCAUUGCAUGUCGGAAAUAAAAGCUGGUUAAAUUAUUCAGUAUCCAUUUUCCGUGAGGAUAUUUAUUUUUCUCGAUGUUUUACCUCUUAAUUCAGUUAAGUAAGAUAGUCUAGCUACCAAAUAGUUAAUACCCGUCAUUCGUUACUCUUGCAUGGUAUUCAUCUGGCAGGCUCCAAAUCGCACCAUAAAAUCUGAGGAAACUAAGGUACUUAAUUUCGCAGGUCUUUUAUUCGCGGGUCUUUAAUUUCGCGAUUUAUUAACAGUCGCGAAAAUCGCGAAAUUAAAGACCCGCGAAUAAAAAUCCUCGCGAAAUUUAAACACGCGAAAUUUAACACCCAUAUAGAAAAUUCAAAUCACAGAAAAAAAAAUGAUUAACAUGCAACAACAACAACAACAACAACAUAUACAGGAUAUGUAUCGACAAAUACACAAACUAUUGCUGGUUUUACUGGUAAGUUCCAUUUUGUAUCUUCUGUUGUUAAAUAACGUUAUGCCUUUUGCUUGUUCCAGUAAUUAUCUAGAAAUUCUGAAAAGUUCAGACUUUUGAAAAAUAACAUGAA
rnacentral:lncRNA from 1 species